rnacentral:rRNA from 1 species
AGGUGCUGCAUGGCUGUCGUCAGCUCGUGUCGUGAGAUGUUGGGUUAAGUCCCGCAACGAGCGCAACCCUUGUCAUUAGUUGCUACGAAAGGGCACUCUAAUGAGACUGCCGGUGACAAACCGGAGGAAGGUGGGGAUGACGUCAAGUCCUCAUGGCCCUUAUGGGUAGGGCUUCACACGUCAUACAAUGGUACAUACAGAGCGCCGCCAACCCGCGAGGGGGAGCUAAUCGCAGAAAGUGUAUCGUAGUCCGGAUUGUAGUCUGCAACUCGACUGCAUGAAGUUGGAAUCGCUAGUAAUCGCGGAUCAGCAUGUCGCGGUGAAUACGUUCCCGGGUCUUG